rnacentral:rRNA from 1 species
ACUGCUCAGUAACACGUGGACAACCUGCCCUUAGGACGGGUAUAAACCCGGGAAACUGGGUAUAAUCCCCGAUAGGUCUCGACUGCUGGAAUGCAUUGAGAUCUAAAGCUCCGGCGCCUAAGGAUGGGUCUGCGGCCUAUCAGGUAGUAGUGGGUGUAGCGUACCUACUAGCCUACGACGGGUACGGGUUGUGAGAGCAAGAGCCCGGAGAUGGAUUCUGAGACACGAAUCCAGGCCCUACGGGGUGCAGCAGGCGCGAAAACUUUACAAUGCUGGCAACAGCGAUAAGGGAACCUCGAGUGCCAGGUUACAAAUCUGGCUGUCGAGAUGCCUAAAAAGCAUUUCAUAGCAAGGGCCGGGCAAGACCGGUGCCAGCAGCCGCGGUAAUACGAU